rnacentral:lncRNA from 1 species
CUUUUUCUGCCUCUCUUCCUUCUCAACUUGUGUUUUCUAUUUGAUACAACAUCAUUUUCAGCCUUAGGACUGUUAUUGCUUUGUUCCUCAAUAGUAAUAGACAUAUUCUUCUUUCGAGCUUGUUCUUCAUCUCCAACAAUAUAAAUAUUAUCAUCUAUAAUAUUAAUAUGAUCUCCCUUUGUUACUACUUACUACUCUUUUUAUUGAUUUUUCUCUUUAUAUUUUAUCCCUCCAUACAAAUUUCCACAAAUAUAUAACAAUUUUCUUGCUAAGUGGCUUCUUCAAGCAAAGGUAAGCUCCAUUGUCCAAAGCGUUCUUGACUAAGAAUUCAUUGUGUUCAUCAUAUACAACUGCAUAAUUAUGUUGAAAAGCUAAUAAUUAAAUUUGUUUUCUGACGAUGAGUUUUGAGGUGACCUAGUUACUCUUCUUCCUUUAUCUCUCUACCCCUUUUGUUCUUUUAUUUGCUAACUAGAGUCGGGAGAUGUAGAUCCCCCUUACUUUUAUAUCGCUCUCAUUCCCUCUCUCUAGAUCUGUGUAUGUGUUUGUUUUUUGUAUCUAUGAAACAACAAGUUCGGCAAAAUCAAACCCUCUUUGGCGGUGAGUUUUGAGGUGUCACAAUUCUUUUGAUCUACCCUCUUGAUGAGUUUGAUGGUUCCGACAUCGUUUGGACAAUUCUUGCUACACUUAGGUUCUAUAAUUCUUGUUUUGAUUUUUCAAUUUGUGUUAAACCAUUCUAGUUGUGUAGUUUUAUUUAAAUAAUUUUGUUAUCUUUAUUUUGCUAUUUUAGCAAGGUGGAAUGAUCUAAUGGACCCUUGUGCUUGUAUGCGUUUGUAUUGUGGAUCCUUCUAUUUAAUUCUUUACCAACUAAAUCCUUAAACUCAAUUAAAAGAUAAUUUUUAAACCCCUCCUAUCAUGUGUGUAGCUCACUCUCCCUUAAAUAUACGACAUGUCAAAUCCAUGUGACAUAAAUUAAUAACACGUCAUAGUUAUCUUCAUUAGCUAUUUUCAAAAAUUAUUAAUUGAAAUAUUAAAUAAAAGGUAAAAUAAUUAUUUAAAGUAAAAUUCUUAUUUAUCUCACCUUCUUCCAACUUCUGUCCACAUCUCCCAACUAACAACCACCAUCACCUACACCCUCAUAGUCUCUUUUUCUUCCAUUUAAACUCGUUUUCAUAAAAAAAGAAGAAGAGGAAUAUUGAAAAUGAAAGUCUAAAAAAGAAAAUCUUAAAUCUUAAAUUAGAUCUAAAUUUAUCUUCCUUUGUUUCCUUUUCUUUCCCUUCCUUAAUGGUUGUAUUUGGUGAAACUACAUGAAAAUUUAAAAAAUGAAAAAAAAGAAUUCGGUCUACUAAAGGGUAGGAGUGACUGAAAAAGGGAGCUGAGGCAAAGAUGGAGUGGGGAUAGCUGAAGCCUGAAAAAGGGGGAUGGAGCGGAUAUGAGGUUCGGGAUGGCUGAAAAAGAAGGUUAGGGCAGAUAUGGGGGGGGGGGGCUGAGGGAUGGCUAAAAACGAGAGUUUGGGCAGAUAUGGGGGUGAGGGAUGGCUGAAAACGGGGAUUGAGGUGGUGGGUGGGCAGACAAAAAAAGUUGGGGUGGGGUUAAGGGUAGGGGUGGGGAGAGGGGGCAUGACUGAAGAAGGUGAGGUGAGGGGAACAAGAGACUUUUUUUUUUUAUAAAAAAAAUCAUUAUUUUAUAUUUUUAAAAUUUAAAUAUGUUCUUCACUUGCCUUUACAGUUUGUGGUUACACUCUCUCGCCAACUCAUUCAUCUUAAUGCCACAUAAGCAUAGUCAAUGGUCAGAGGAGUUUGAUAUAUUGUGUUUUAAUGAGUUUAGAGUUCAAUUGAUAAAUGAUAAAGUAGAAGGAUCUAUAAUACAAACUCAUACAAUUAUAUGAGUCCAUUAGAUCAGUUCGCCUUUUAGUAAUCAUGAUCUUCUUCUUUCUGUCAUUAUUAGGUAUAUGUAAUUAGAAUGAAUUAGAAGCUUGUAGUGGUGCAAUAGAUUGUCAUGUUCUCCCAUUUUUUAAACUACUUUUUAAAUCAACAAUUUGUCUUGGAGAAAGAUCGCAUGCCUUUCCUGCACUAAGAAUGUUCAUCUCAUAGUCCUUAUCUUCUUCUUCUUCUGAGACCUCAUCUUUUGUUCUAGAGUGAGCUCUUGUAUGUGUCACGACCCAACCCACUGUCCAUGCAGACACCUACUCUAACACCUAAUUAGGAGGACAUUUGAUUUUCAACGGUUAAAACAUGCGGACGAUUGAGAAAACCGGAGGUAAAAGGAAAUGCAUGAGAUUUUUACAUAAAUAAGCGUUAUUAACAAUCCAAGGUUAAAUUUGUAAAUAAAUAACGCCCCAGAGAUCUAGUCUAAACAUGUAUAAAAGCUUAUAAGAUUACAAGGUAUAAAAUACAUUAACUAAUGACACAACUCCCACUACAGAGAAGGAAGAGUUGAAGUUGUUGGAGAUUGUCUUCAUCUUCACCUAUGAAACAUCACUGACCUUGCAACCAAACUACGCCAAAUGGCAUAACAAGAGUAGUAUCAGUACAAACAAUACGUACUGAUAGGCAUCGCUGGUCAAUCCAAUGCCCAACGCAUAAUAUAAAGAAAUAAACCAGCAGGAAACAUGCAAGAAGAAAGUACACCCCUCAACCUUUAUCCUCCUGCCUUUACUAUUCCCGUAUACCUCAACGUACUAGUACACUUGACUCUAACCCCCUACUUUAUCACCCUGAUCGUUGUGUUCUUGAUCAUAUCUUAACCCUUUUAUCUCAUAGAUGAGUUCUCGAAUACAACCAUUACCAACCCGGCCAACCACUUAUGACAUGCCCUCGCUUCUUCUACAUAACAAUUCAACCCUUUACCACAUAUUAUACUCUAUGCUAAACGUUUUGGAUACGAAUUCCCUUCCCAAGGUAGGCCCUGUGUAGUUGUACAUCAUGAAAACUACCCCACUUCUCAUUGUCUAAGAACACAUACAACCUUUCUAAAAAUAGCCGAUAAUAACACCUAGACCCUCGAUCUCCACUUACCAGACCUCAUACCUGUUGGGCAUGAUCAUUUACAGUUAAUUCCAGUAAACAAGAUAUAAACAAUUAAUUACAACACAGUAAACACACAUAUACAUUAUGCAUAAUUACAAUAUCAUUUCAGGAGCAAUGUGAAAUUCCAUAGUAUCAAUAACAAGUAGAUAUGACAGUUACAAUGGUCCUCUCAUGGAACCUACACCCAAACUGUUAGUGUGUCGAAACGUGACACCCGGUCCAAUAUGUGUGUCGGAAUGUGACACCCACUCCAAUAUGUGUGUCAGAACGUGACACCUGGUCCAGUCAGUACAACCACAGUCACAAUCAUACCCAUAAUGAAUAAUUCACAUAGUCACCUAGUCAAGUAACAUGUUCGUGUUAUGUAAUUGUCCAUACUUAGUCAUUUCAUUAGGUUCGAUUCAUGUUUCUCUAUUCACAUUCAUGUAUGCAUACAAUGGUGCAAUUAACAAACAUAUAUCACACAACUCGAAAGUCGAACCAUCACGUACCCCUAGUUCACAAGAUGAGGCUUUUCUCUAAGGUACACAUCUUGUUUAACAACUAGGCAUACGUGAACAAAUACCUCUUUUUAUGUGCCCGAAGGCCUAAACAUGAAUUCUACCUUCAAUUAGCAAUACAUUACGCAGUGAACACGAAUUUACAACUACUCAAGUAAAUAAACCUAGCCUACCUAGGCGCCAAGAAGCUACAGAGGGAUUGCAACUCCAAUCCUGACUUCCAGACAACGAUACAGUGGAUUUUUGGCCGGGAACCAGCGAGUUGUCGUCAACCUUGAGCUCGAACUCUAUUUCUCCUUUCUUCCCAAGCCUAGAGUAGCCUUUUGAGGGUUUCUAUGGUGAUCCUUCCCUCUUUUUGGCACUUAGGAAAAAAAAUAGAAAAUAAGACUUCGCGUCAUAAGUUCUGCCCUCCGUCCAACCCACUCUUGCGCUCCCAUCUCACUGGGGCGUCGCCACUAUAGCGGCAUCACCUGCUCUAGCGGGACAGUGAGGCCCAACUACUCACGAUGUUUUGCCCUUCUUAAGUAAUGACGGUUUAGAUCGUUACAAUAGAUACCAAUUUACCCCUUGUUCGUCCCCGAAUGACCAACGAAUGAGUAAGCACAAUUUUAGUUGGAGUAAUUCGAAACUAACGAAUCGGCCCGUCAUGGGAUGACGAAAGAUAGUGGUUCCCAAGGUUUAGGCACAAAAGGAUAUUUACCCAGGGAAUCGGCAAGGAAAACGAGGUAACACACGGAGGAAAAGAGAUGCGUCCAUUUGCCUGGCCUGACUUUGCCAGAGCGGCAGGAUUCCCGCUGAGGCGGGGCCACUGUGGCGGGAGGCUAGAUUAGUUUCAAAGGGGUAAAGGGGAAUGGUUUCCCCAUUUCCUCCAAUACCCACUCAAAAAUCCAAAACUCUCUCAAUUGCUUCACUUCUAAAGUCAACAUUAAGGUAAUGUUCUUGCUCCCUACUCUAAUUACUUCAAUACUUGCUUAACAACAAUUGCAUGAAAAAAAUUGGUUGGGUAGAAUGGACUUGGGGUAGUUUUCAAAAAAUGUUUAUGUGGGUUGCUUGAUUCGAUAAGAAAAAUGUAGCAUAGACACUUCCCUUACGUUCCCAAUGUCUCCACAAUGUUCUGAGCGUAAGAAUUUCACGAUAAUAUGGCCAAACGGUUCUGAAAUGGGUUGGGGAAGUUGAAUAGUUUCUUGGUGUAAAACUUGAAUUUGGGCACCAUUUAGGGGUUGAAUUGCUAGGGUCUUCGCAUAUUUAGGUACUAGGGUACUCUAAAAACACUGAUAUGGUGAAAAUUUUGUUUAAAAUGAGGUUUUGGGGUGAAAGGGUGCCAUGAUCGCGCUUUGAAGUUCAACCCAUGAUCGCGCCAUAAUCCUGCUCUAAGAAUGUUCAUCUCCAAGUUCUCAUCAUCUUAUUCUUCCUGACACCUUCUAUUUUGUUCUUGAGUGAGCUCUUGUAUGUCUGUAAAAUUCUUAUCUUGUGAGCACCGCUUAAUUAUGCUUAUCGACUGUGGUGAAACAUUUUCCACACCACAAUUUGACUUCCAUACUGUCAAUGUUGAACCCUCAUCUAUGUAACUUGAUGGUAUUUCCUUUUGAUCUUGAUUUGUCUCCUUCGUUACCUCAUCUUCCUGUACUAUUGUAUUUCUUUGUUCCUCAUCCCAUUUUGGUUUACUAAAGGCAUUUUCUACCCACUUUUUUGUUGGUGUUUUCUUCUUUGUUCCCAUUUCCUUUGCAUCCCUUAGCUCUGGAUCAUGUAGAGCUUUAAGUUGAUUUCAUGUACGUAGUCAUCAUCUCCUUCACCCCCUUCUCUGGUUGUGUUGGUUUCGGAUUCCACACUUGUAUUCUUCCCCUCCAUAGAUGUUUUCUAUUUCUUAUCACUUGAAAUUCCUCCUUGUCCUCAUCUUCUCUGUUAUCUUUCCCAUUUUUGGUUUCCUUCCUCUAUAAUUUUUUUAUUUGUUCUAUCACUUUGUAUCUCCCCUUUCUCCUUUGAAGUCUCCUCCAUCUUCUUAGGAUACAAUUAAGGGUGUAAUGCAUAACAUUCAUGCUCAAUAUGUCCUUGCAAUCGACAAUUAGCACAAUAUUGGGGAUAUGAUCAUAAUUUAUCCGCACCCAUAUUUUCACCCCAGAUUGCUUCCUAACUCUAAUGUUUAUCUUUUUUGGGAAAUCACCUAACAGAUCAACCUCGAUCUUCACCCUAGCAAAGCUCGGUCUAGUUUGAUUCUUUGUUGCCAUAUCAACUUGCAACGAAUUCCCCACCGCAGUAGCCAACGAGAAUAUUGCCUCUUUCACAAAGAAAUUUGGGGAAGGAAUGGAAACGAUAUGCACACUAUGGGUGUUUUUAUUUCUUCUUCCGAAUCAAACAUUGGAUCCCACUUAAGUGUUCUCAUUGGGUAGGAACAUUGUAGAUGUGUUAAGUAAAAAGUUGGCUUAGAUAAUAAAUUAUAAUAGUUUUCCUUUAUUUCCACUUUGAUUAACACAUGACGAUUACAAAGGAGCCCAAUAUUGCAUUCCCCCUUUAAUUCACAUUGUUUCAGAAUUAACUUUUUGAACUCUCUGAUCUCCAGCAUCCCAUAAGAAAAUUUUUCAAUGACCACAUAUUGUAAAUUCUCUUUGUAUAUCAUUUGUGUCACCUCCUCCUCUGUGUCACCUCCCCCUCCACCCAUAUUAUUCUCAGCUCACCAUGCAAGUAUGAAAUUGGUUUCAUAGGUAAUGGUUUAGUAGUAAAUGGAUCUGACUUAAAUGACAACACAAACUCCUUUCUCUGGCCAAUCUCCGAAGAAGGUUGACCUAGUAUCGUGCAGACCAUGGCCACCGACGUUGAUCAUCAAGACUAGGUUUAUUGGUGGAGGCUAGGUUUUAUUUGUAGGGAGAAGUAAAUAUGAAUUAAAACGAUCAUUCUUUAUUAAUAGCCUAAUUAUAAACAAAUUUACCUACCCUAGAUAUAUGAGAGCAUUGAAAUUAAAAAUAAGGCGAUAAAAAUAAAUUCCUAUUAGUAGCAACUCUUUCUCCUCUCUCUCUCUCUCUACCCCUUCUGUUCUUCUACUUACUGACUUGAGUCAGGCGGCGUAGAUCUCCCCUAAAUUCUAUAUCUCUCUUUCCUUCUCUAUCCAUCUGUGCAUGGUUUAUUUUUUGCAUCCGCAAAGCAACAAGUCCAAAUAAAUCAAACCUAAUUACUCUUCCAAAUUUAAUUGUUAGCUUUUCGAUAUUAUUAUGCAAUUGUAUGGGAUGACCACAAUGAAAUCUUAGUAAAGAACUCUUUGGAUAAUGGAGCUUACAUUUGCUUGAAGAAGUCACUUGACGAGAAAACUGUGACAUACUUCUGAGAAUUUGUAUGGAGGGAGAAAAUACAAAGAGAGAAUUUAAUAAAAAUAGUAGAAACAAAGGGGGAUCAUAUGAAUAUUGUUGAUGAUAAUAAUUAUAUUGUUAGAGAUUAAGAAUAAACUCGAAAAUAGAAUAUGUCUAUUACUACUGAGGAACAAAGCAAUAAUAGUCAUAAGACUGAAAACGAUGUUGUAUCAAAUGAAAAACACAAGUUGAGAAAGAAGAGAGGCAGAGAAAGUACAAAAGAGAUGAAUGAAGGAAAAAGUCAGAGUGGUCUUAUUAAUAAGACUAUUACACGUAAGGACUACACAAAAUGAAUUGAUGUGUAGUCCUUAUGUGUAAUAGUCUUAUUAAUGGGACCACUCUCACUUUUUCUUUCAUUAAUCUCUUUUGUAGUUUUUUUGCAUCUUUUCCUUUUUCAACUUGUGUUUUCUAUUUGAUACAACAUCGUUUUUAGCCUUAAGGACUAUUAUUACUUCGUUCUUCAAUAGCAAUAAACAUAUUCUUCUUUCGAGCUUGAUCUUCAUCUCCAACAAUAUAAUUGUUAUCAUCUAUAAUAUUCCCUUUGUUUCUACUCUUUUUAUUGAUUUUUCUCUUUGUAUUUUCUUCCUUCAUACAAAUUGUCACAAGUAUAUAACAAUUUUAUCGCUAAGUGGCUUCUUCAAGCAAAGGUAAGCUCCAUUGUCCAAAGCGGUCUUUACUAAGAAUAUAUUGUGUUUAUCACAUGCAACUGCAUAAUUAUAUUGAAAAGCUAACAAUUAAUAUUUUUUUUCGGGGAUGAGUUUCGAGGUGACCUAGUUACUCUUCUUCCUUUAUAUCUCUACCCUUUUGUUCUUUUAUUUACUAACUGGAGUCGGGCGAUGUAGAUCCCCCCUUACUUUGAUAUCGCUUUCAUUCCCUCUCUUUAGAUCUGUGUAUGUGUUUGUUUUUCGUAUCUAUGAAACAAGUAUGGCAAAAUCAAACCCUCUUUGACGAUGAGUUUUGAGGUUUCACAGUUCUUUUGAUCUACCCUCUUGAUGAGUUUGAUGGUUCCAGCAUCGUUUGGACAAUUUUUAGCUGCACUCGGGUUCUAUAAUUCUUGUUUUGAUAUUUGAAUUGAUUUUUCAAUUUUUGUUCCACCAUUCUAGUUGAGUAGCAUUAUUUAAAUAGUUUUGUUAUCUUUGCUUUGCUAUUUUAGAAAUCACGAUCUUCUACUUUCUGUCAUUAUUAGGUAUAUCGAAUUAGAAUGAGUUAGACAUUUUAGAAGAUAUGAAACACAUGGAGAAAAUGGUAGAGGUUAGGAAGGUGAACGAUAGGAUGAUGAUCGUUAAACAACUCUGGGAUGGUAACUCUUAAUGUUAUAAAUGCAUAUGGACCACAAAUGAGUUGCAUAGAGAAGACAACAUUUCUGUAAGGAUCAGUUGGACAAGGUUAUGAGAGGUAUCUGUAGACUAAUUUUUUUUUAUAUGAGGAUAUAUAUUUUAAUGAUCACAUAGGGAAAAAUCCAAGAGGUUAUGAUGAUAUACAUGAGGACUUUGACUUUGAGGAUAGAUAUGAAGGAAGAGUUUGUUUAGACUUCACUGAUGUUUUUGAGUCGUCAUAGAUAACUUGAGCUUCCAAGAAAAAAGAGAAACAUUUGGUGAUCUUUCAUAUUGCGUUGGCUAAGAUUCAAAUAAUUUACUUGAUCCUUAUAAAGAGUGACAUAUAGGCGUAUGUAAGGAUCGAAAGUUUAUCCCAACUGAAAAUUUUAUGUAUUUAAAUCUUUGGAUAUCAAAGAAGAAGGAAAAAAAUGAGGUUGUAUAUGAUCAACCAAAGUGUUAACUCUAUGAAUGGAGAUUAAUCCUUGGAGAAUUCACAGAGCAUUUGAGAGAAGAAGAAGGAAGAAGAUUGUAUUAAUGUCUUGAUUCA